rnacentral:tRNA from 1 species
GCAUUGAGUGUACUGGUGAGCAUAGCUGCCUUCCAAGCAGUUGACCCGGGUUUGAUUCCCGGCCAAUGCA